ACUCAGAGUUACCUCCGUUGGUACGUGCCUGUAUCUGCUGAGAAGCCUUCAAUCAGUCGCUUGCCUGAAGCCUCCCCUGAGAAAAAGGAUUUGACCAAGGUGUGCAAGUGACUGAAGAGCACAAGGCAGUCAGCCCGUGCCCUCGCAGCCUUUUCUCUGAGGAAAGUGGCAGUGGCAGGAGCGCACUGGUAUCUCCGUUUUACUCAGAGCUGUACCAGGAUCGCAGAGAAGAGCUCUAAGGUAGUGUUAUCCAUGGGGCUAGGGGGUAUUUUCCUACUCGGUACAUACGGGUAAUGUACAUACAAUGUCCAAAUGAU